rnacentral:lncRNA from 1 species
AGAUUUUGAAACAGAAGUGUUUUCAUGUAAUGUGUGCAUGUAGUAUGGCACUGGUAGCCUGCACUCAGCACUGCUCAUUGGAGAGUGAGCAAUGACCAAGGGCACCACCAAUGGCAACCCAACUUGUAACAAACUGAGGAAGACAGCAUUCAUCUGUCUUAACGAAAGCACCUUAUGUUAAAGAUCAUUCCAGUCCUUUGUUUCUGUUUUAAACUGACCAAGCAAUAUUUUUAAUAUAAUUUUGCUUCCCAGGUAACUCUUCAAUUUAGUGAAGAGAAUGCACUAAACUAUUUAUUCAAGCUCUCUAGUCUUUCUUGUCAGUUUUAUUUCUCAUUGUAUACUUGUCAAUUAGUCUCCUGCAAAGUUGAUUAGUAUGAAUCUGUCCAUAAAGGUCUUAUCAAUUUUUGAUGUACUGAGAAAGAUGACAUCCCAGCCUCACAAAGUUGUGGAAAGAACAGUGAUUUGGGGGGGAAGACAGAUCUGAAUUUAAUUCUCAAUUAUAAUGACUUAAUCUGUGAGCUUUACAGUGACUAUUUUUCUGAGCUUCAGUUUCAUGAUUUCCUGUUACGAAAAUGUGGACAAUAAGUGGUGUUGAGAUGAAAUAUAAGCAAUGGGCUUAUAGGUGGUUCAUAGUAAAUGCAAUGUGUUAUUUUUCUUUCCUUUUUCUCCACAAAGAAGAAAGACUAGACAGACUGGUAUUUGUGGACCCAAAAAUGAUGCUGCCUGCCAGCAUGCAGCCACAAAAGCUUGCAAGUAUUCCAGAUGAUAUUGCUACUCUAUUUCCUAAAUUGGAAUGUCCUAGGUGUCACAGCAGAGAUUGCAUGAUUUCGGGGCUCAGCUCCUGCUUGGUCUUAUUCAGACAACCAAUAAAUUAUUAUCAACUGAUGUUGAUAAACACUCAAAAAAAAUGAAAGCAGCCAUGAGAAGAAGCCCAUCCUUUACCACAUGAACAAGACAUCAAAGGUAUUCAGCCCCCAGCAGCAGAAGGUUAAUGCACCUAUGAACUCCACGCACGUCAUCCUUCUUCCAUAUUUUAAGAUAAGUUGUGCUGAAAUUGUGCAGGAGAAGAAUUGGGGGGAAACUAACUGCCAGUGUUGCAGGGUAUCAUCCAUAAGCACACAAUAGUGAUAAAUGAAGUGUUCUGUCAUGUUUUCCUCCUCAUUUCUACUUCCCUUAUUUUAGGUUAUGUUCUUAGCUAAGAGCAAUAACAUACCUAGUUAAUUAUCUCUCCUGCCUGCAUCCAGAUAUACUGCAUUGUUAGUUUAUGUCUGCGGUGCGCAGAGAGAAUUUGGCUCUCUUUCAGUUCUCAUAAUAAGAGGGGACAGUCAACCCAAAUAAUUCAGGACAAAUGUCCCAGUGGAUCCCUGAAGCAUCUUGCUUGUUAUCCAUGUUAAUCAUGUUAACUACAUCACGGCCAAAUUCCAUUUUGCACUGUGUGGUAUUGAGGCAAUCUUAAUGCUUUAUUAUUAUUAUAUAUGAAUUCAUGUUUACUUGAUUAGUUUACCACAGCACAAGGUAAGCACCAUUCACUUAAAGAAUUAGGAGGUUCAGAAACUGAACGCAUUUUUCUAGGAUUUGGGUUCCACAUCUUAUGCAUUAAUAAACAAGUUAAAAACAAUUGAUAAGAAAUCA